GGAGCGUCUAGCAUGUGCGCGCCACCAAUGUCCACUUAGGGAAACCCCCAUCGGCGGCGCCUGUCCCCAGAGAUCAUCCGUAGUGCCCGGGAAAGGGGUCCUCGGUUGCCAUCCUCAGAUGGUAACUGGCCUUGACUUUCUGGAGGUCAGAAAUCCAACACGGGUCUCCUUGGGCUGGAAGCGAAGAGUCCGCAGAGCCACAGUCUCUUCCAGCUUCUCUAAGCUGCGUUCCUUGACUGUGGCCCCUUCCUGCAUCUCCAAAACCAGCAGGGGCGGAUUUUCACAGCUCAUGGCACAGCGCUUUUCUGCCCCACCUUGCAAUGGAGCGAACGCUCACGUCCCCCUGUGACCUCAGAUGUUGGAAUCCUGACUCCUAAGGGGCCCUGGGUCCAUGCUUGAGGACAAAGGAGCUGCCAGGUGGCACCUUCCAAGAAUGGCGGCAGGAAGAUGGCCUCUCUCAGGCAAACACUGUGAUACUUGAUGGAAAAGAAGAGAAAACUGACCAGCCGCUGUACCAGCCAAAGAGCCAGAAGCAUAUGAAAAGGUGAAGAGCAUACGCCAGGGAAAUGCAAACUAAGAACCACAGUGAGGCACCGGCCACCAGCACGGCUGACAUUGAUGAGACUGACAUUUACCCAGCGCUGGAAAAGAGGUGAAACAAGCAAGACUGUCAUACGCGGCUGGUACGAAGUUGGCACAAUCACAUUCGAAAACAGGAACCCCAGAUGUUAGACUGGAAAUAGCCCAAAUAUCAAUCAACUGGAGACCAGAUAAGCCGCGGCAGUAUGUCCACACGAUGACAUACUACGGAACAGUGAGAGGGAACAAGCCAUUGCUACGCUCACCCGCACGGUGAGGCCCACACACAAGUUGCUGAGUGGACGAAGCCAGAGCAAUACAGUGCCUGGGAGUCUUUCAUUUACACAAGUUCAACAGGCAAACCUUCCUAAUGGCGGAGAUCCUUGUGGAGGUGACUGACAAGGACAGCGGCUGGAGCACAGACUCUGCCCCCAGCUCCCCGAUCAGGACCCGGGCCAGGCACAUGCACGGGCCGCCGGUGCUGGAAGGUCCGAGACCCACCUGGGGAAGCCAAGGGCUGCUUGGGAGUUGGCAGCUUCUCCUGGCAGAUAAGGAAAAGGUUCGUUCAUUAGCUUAUUCAAUACAGAAUAAACGGCUACACUUUAUCAGCUAGUUAAACACACACUGUGUGUGUGUGUGAGUGUCCGUGCACACUUAGUUGAUUCUCCUCUUGUGAGAUGGUGAAUUGGUGCUGACUCAAGGGCCUUGGGAAGAGAAAUAUUCAAACAUAAUGAAACAGGUCUGCUCUAAAGAUGUGAACUUUAACCCUCUCCUGCUUAGAUAUAGUUUCUCUUUUAACUGAACCAGUUGCUCUGUUUGUUCAAGGUGGAUUUAGAUGAUAAUUUACUAGUUGCUAAUAUUGCCCCAGUCAGUAUCUUUAGAAGAUCAACAAAUAGAAGUCUGAGAUAAGCCUAUGUUUGGUUAUAUCCUAAAACUCAUUACUUUUAAAUGCAUUGUUCAUUCAUUGAUUAGAUGUUUAUUAAAUUCUGGCAAUGUGCUAUGUAUCUAAUUCACAGCCAUCCUCCAAGAGGGGUCAAUGUGUGUAAACUUUCAUGUAAAGAGAAAGAAUUGCACUCAGCAUUCGAUAAUCAUUUUGCCUUUCAAAUAGAAACUUAUUCAUAUCAAUUACUAAUGAAAGAGCUUGCAACAGUGUUGAAAAACCUUCUUCAGAGUGAAAGGAUUCUAAGUAUAGAUCAAAAAAUCUACAACCUUUAGGGCUAUUGCUAGGAUAUACUGCUUUACCAAAAACAGAAUUGCUGACAUGUGGCCCAGGUGACCAUUUUAGGCUUUACUAUGACAGGUAACACACUGCUUACUCAGUACAUUUGGGAUGGGACCUGGGAGUCUGCCUGCUUCACCAGAAAUGCUGAAUACUCAGUCAGGGUAUAGGUGUCCAUCGCCAACUUACCUUUGCAGACAUGCAACCGAUCUCUCUCACAAAUGCAUGGCUCUAGCGCAGGAAGAAUUAGCACAGCAAUAAGUAUUUACCUCUUCAAUACAGUCACAGAUUUUGAGGAUUCUAAGAUGUGUAAACUGGAAUCUUCACCCUGGUUCUCAGAGACAGCACCAAAAACUCUGGAACAGUCUGUUUGUAAACACUCUUCCUUUCAUACUUUGUAGCAUAUGGGAGUUGUGUGCCAGCAGGCAGAACUGCCCCCAUGUUUGCCUUGGCCACCCGGUAACGAGCUAUGCUUUAAUUACCUUUCUAAAAGUGGGAUGAAGUGCCUGCCAAGGUUGACAGCUGCUCUCCCUGGAAGUACAAAAGGAACAAGUUGUGGAUCACCAGUGACAGCUUUUUGCAGGAGGUGGCCCUGUGUCAUGGGCGAGAGGGCACUACCAGUCAAUCCAGGCCCCUCCCGAAGCUAAGACUCCGCAACUUCAUUGUCACCCAGCAGGUCCUCAGCAGAGAUUUCCUGAACUGACACUGGUAAAUACCCACCAGGUCUGGGUCCUGAUUUCUUGUGCUGUACCUGCACGGUUGGCCCAGGUGUGCCACAGAACUACCAUAAAGGUGGGAUGCAAAGAGACAGAAGGCACAGCAGUUCCCAAGGCCCCGGCAUAGAGUCCCUUGGGUUCCCUCGCUGCUCUGUAGAACUCAGCCCGGGGAACGAGCGGGAAGAACGGACUCGCUGCGCGGGCCUGGAGAGACUAGGGCAGCAGCUUCAGUCUGCAGUUUGCUUUAUCUUUGACAGAACACUGGACUCCCAAAUCUUCCCAAAAUGAUCCUGCAGGCCGGGACCCGUAUGGUACUCUGCAUUUGACUGGUGGGGAAGCGAAGCUCAGAGAGGUGGAAGCUCCUGGCUUCAAGGCCAAGGUCUUUCCACUCUCAGCUGCUUUGCUCAGGGGAUGGAGGUGCGGCCCAGAGCACGGGGCUUCCUUGGAAAGAUUCACUCUAGUUUCCUCUUCUGGAAGAUUAGAGAGUGGAACUGGCCAGGCAUUACAGUUUCUUCCAGAUCUAAAAGCCUAACUUGUCCAGACAGGGCUACUGCUACACGCCAACAAUGAGCCGACUGUGAGGUUGGCAGGGAAGGAGCCGGGGACACGAAUGGCUGAAGUGUCUGUCACACAAGUUGGUCAUUUCCUUCCUCACAGCCUUCCGCUCAUUCCGAGCUCUCCGUGUACACUCUUGUCACCCACUCACGCAAAUAGAUGCAUCAUCACGCACGAGUCAAGCUAGAGAUCGGUGCGAACGACACCUGCCUCACACUCUGCCCCUGCAACCCAUGUGAAAGCCGUGUCUGGGUGCGGGUCACGGGAGUUCACACCAGGCCUAGGAGCCGUGUACCUUCUCUUUCUUCACUCAGCCCCAGUUCUUCGGGUUGCUCUCGGGACCACAAGGGGUUUGUGAAUAAUUCUUCUCUUUGUGAUAGUAAUUACUCUCUUUGUAGAAUGAUUUCCAGGAUCUCCUUCAGAUUGAAGUAAGUGGAAAACUUGAUUGCUUCAUCCCAAGAUGCAGGAUUCUGGAGAGAAGGGGCGAGCUACACGUGACUGCCAACCCACCCCAUCCUGAACAGCUGUGGUUAGCCUUUCAAGCUCUCGAUGUCAGAUUUCUUUUCCCUAAAGACUAUUCUUACUUUUUAUCUCCUCAUCUGCUGUUUGGAUUAGGUUAUUUACUGUUUCUACACAUGAAUUUCCUCUAAUGAUGGUACAGACUGAAUGUUUGUUUCCCCCCAAAAUUCAUAUGUUGAGGCCUAAUGCCCAGUGUAAUGGUAUUUGAAAGUGGGGUAGGUAAUUAGGUCAUGAAGGCAGAGCCCUCAUGAAUGGGAUUGGUGCCCUUAUUUUAAAAAAAAGACCCCACAAAGACCCCUCACCCAUUCCACUAUGUGAGGACACAAUGAGAAGGUCUAUGAACCAGAAAGUGCCCUGUAAAUGGAAGUUACAAAGGAAAACAUGAGCGAAUAGAGACUAUACCAUGCUCAUGUAUUGAAUAAAAAAGGGCCAAGACAAUUUUAAAGACUAAUAUAGAGAACUUGCCUACCUGAUAUUUGUCAAAAAUCCGUUGGAACUGAGAGAAUGUGAUAGGGUCGCAGGUUAGAGACGGACAGCAAUGGAACAAUGGGGUUGGCCCAGGACCGCCCCAUGUGUGAUGCAUGAUAGAGGAGGGGUCAGAGGUGGGCUGGCUAAUGAAUGGCUGACACUGACUACCUAUGUGGGAAACCAAAGGAAAUUAAUUCUGUGUUGCACAACAAACACAACAAAAUUCAGAUAGAUUAGAGGCUUAAUUGUAAGAAGCAGCAAGAAAAAAUCCUUAGAAGAAAAUAUAGGGAAAUAAUAAACCUCUGAAUAGAGAAGGAUUUUUUAGACAAGACACAAAAAGCAUAAACCAUACAGGAAAUGAUACAUUUAAGUUUUUUAUGCCAUGAAAGAAAGAAAAGGUAAAUGAGACUGCAGGCUAGAAAAUACUUGCCACAAAGAGGAAAGACAGACCAUAAUCUAAAAAGUAUAAGAAUUCCUAUAAAACUACAAAAAGAAGAAAAAAAGGCAACUAGAAGAAAAAUAUAGAAUUACCAUAUGACCCAGCAGUUCUACUCCUCGAUAUCUACCCAAGAGAAAUAAAAACAUACAUCCUUGUAAAAAUUUGUAUAUGAAUGUUCACAGCAGCAAUAGGGCCUUGAUUAUAUCUGUUGCAUUUUAUAUGAUGACAACAGUCUGAAGGGAAUAUCACAUCAUGUUAAGAUCCAUAAAGGUGGAUGUUCAUUG